UACCACUGGUGGAGUCGCAUUAUGUUCUAUAUGAGUCUCAGAAUCCUGGAGAAUAACUAGAGAACUAAAGGGGUUAUUAUUGGCCUUCAUCGUUGAUUUACCCUUGUUUGACUCCCUCGGACCAUGAUCACCUGACCCAAAUUUAAAUACAGAUUUUUCCUGAGGACGUUGAUUACGUCUUCUAUCUUUCUUAACCAGCAUCCAAUCACCAAAAUCAUCUAAAACAGCUGGAUUAACUACCUGAUUCUCGGGUAACUGAGCCACCUUAGGAGCAGGGUUACUAUGAACCGAAUUAGGCACAUUCUCUACAUUCUCUGGCUGCAACUCUUUCCGCAACGAAGGACAAUUAUC
rnacentral:lncRNA from 1 species